CGCGAAGGUUCUUCGAAAACAACCGUUCCUUCCUGGGAUGCCAGUGUUGCCGGGAUAUGAAUGCAUAUAGUAAACAGAUACAGCUCGUCGCCCAUUUUUUAUCUCUGUACUCUACUACAAGAGACCUCCCGGCAUUAAAUGAUCCAAGUGGGACUUCGGAAGGCCUGAUUCCCGACCCCUAACAUUUGCACCGUAAACCUGACCGACGGCAGGAGGAGACACUCGCUGGCUGACGUACCAAACAAACAUCAGGCUCAGCUGCAGGGUUCCAUUGCAUAUUUUGGCCCGCUGGUUGUCAGGGUGGUUGUCAUGGGCGGAGCUAAACAUCUGGACAACAGAGGAUGGGAAAACCUGAGAACGCUCUUGAAAUGGCAACAGGAAACGAGGAGAAAUGAAGCGAGCCUCGUGCCAGAGGCUCUUUAGAGAUCCAAGAGUCCCAUCAGCAGCUCAGAAUGGUCCAUAAACCCAGCAGUCUCCACUCAAGUUUCCAUCUGCUAAACUCUAGUCUGGUUAAAUAAAAGACGGCAUCUUUUUCCAGCAAGUACAUUUAUCGCUUGACGUUUCCUCUUGUGAAAUGUUAAUAGCAGAGCAUCACAACAGCAUGUGCUGAGCAUGCAAGAGCUGUAAGAGAACCUUUUUUUGUGCAGAACACUGUUGAGUCUGAUCAUUUCGAUCCAUCUAUCAGUUGUAUGAAUCAGGGUUGCAUGAAAAAAUUAUGUGCUUACAUCAAUAUGAGUCAUGGCAUUCAAAAGCAGGAAUUUUAAAUACUUUUAUUUUUAUUAUUCCAUAUGAUAUUCGAUAAUUGACAGAGCUCACGCUGCAUUCCUUUUAUGUGCAUAAGUCUGUAACACGAGUCAAUAAAAUAAUAAUUACAGUACACUCGGAAUCAGAGUACAGUCUAUAAUC